AAUUAGUCACUGGAUAACCAGGGAAUUUAUUCAGUGAAUUCAUAUAUAAGAUCAUAGUUUGUUAGUUUUACAGUUCAUGGUUAUUACAUACAUUUUACAAACUAUAUUGUUUCAUGAUUACGGAAAGUGUACAGUUUUGUCCGGUUUUGUUUCUAAAGAUUAAAACUUUAUGAUCGUUGACCUUUAACCUUAUUGAUGAAAGCCGUUGAAGCUGGUUGAUCAAUUGUCCGGAUUAAUUUAUAUGUUUUAUUGAUACACACGAACAACUUAAACUUUAGUUAAAAAUUACAUGUGCAGCCUUUUGUUUGCAGUAUGCAAUGGUUGCCUCCCUUACUUCAGUUUUGAAAAUGUCCCAAGUAACUCGAGGAUCAUUAUUUUUGGUUGAUGUGUCUGUUGCAUAGAACCUCUAGAAGAGAUUUUGUAUUUUGCGCAAAUUUACUUUUUG